rnacentral:rRNA from 1 species
CGUUAAGACAUAACUGCCCGUACUGCAAACCGACACAGGUGGACAGGGUGAGAAACCUAAGACGGACAGGCUAACUCUCGCUAAGGAACUCUGCAAAAUGGCCCCGUAACUUCGGGAGAAGGGGUGCCUUUGAUGGUGAUGGUUCACGCAACCUAAGCUGUCGGAGGCCGCAGUGAAAAGACUCAAGCGACUGUUUAACAAAAACACAGGUCUAUGCUAAGCUGAAAGGCGAUGUAUAUGGGCUGACACCUGCCCAGUGCCGGAAGGUUAAGAGGAGGAGUGAGAGCUCCGAAUUGAAGCCCCGGUGAACGGCGGCCGUAGCUAUAACGGUCCUAAGGUAGCGAAAUUCCUUGUCGGGUAAGUUCCGACCUGCACGAAUGGUGUAACGAUUUGAGUGCUGUCUUGGCGGGAGGCCUGGUGAAGUUGUAUUAUGGGUGAAGAUACCCAUUACCUGCAGCAGGACGAAGAGACCCCAUGGAGCUUUACUGUAGCUUGGUAUUGGGUCUUGAUGCUGUGUGUAUAGGAUAGUUGGGAGACUUUGAUUGUAGGCCGCCAGGUUUACAUGAGUCGUUGGUGGAAUACCAACCACGCAGUAUUGGGAUUCUAAUCUGGUGUGUGUAACACUGGAGACAGUGCUAGGUGGGCAGUUUGACUGGGGCGGUCGCCUCCGAAAGAGUAACGGAGGCGCUCAAAGGUUCCCUCAGGUUGGAUGGAAAUCAACCGCAGAGUGCAAAGGCAUAAGGGAGCUUGACUGCAAGACUGACAAGUCGAGCAGGUGCGAAAGCAGGACUUAGUGAUCCGGCGAUUCCGAAUGGAAGGGUCGUCGCUCAACGGAUAAAAGCUACCCUGGGGAUAACAGGCUGAUUCUGCCCGAUAGUCCAUAUCGACGGCAGAGUUUGGCACCUCGAUGUCGGCUCAUCUUAUCCUGGGGCUGGAGAAGGUCCCAAGGGUUGGGCUGUUCGCCCAUUAAAAAGGUACGUGAGCUGGGUUCAGAACGUCGUGAGACAGUUCGGUCCCUAUCCGCUGCAGGCGCUAGAGUAUUGCGAAGAUCUGCCCUUAGUACGAGAGGACCGGGGUGGACAAACCUCUGAUGUAUCAGUUGUCACGCCAGUGGCAUAGCUGGGUAGUCACGUUUGGAAUGGAUAACCGCUGAAAGCAUCUAAGUGGGAAACCAACUUCAAGAUAAGUACUCUUUAACUUUAAGUUAAUAAGUCACCUUCGAGACUAGGAGGUUGAUAGGCUGGGGGUGUAAGGAUUGUAAAAUCUUUAGCUGACCAGUACUAAUUAGACGAAUGCUUAUCC